GGAUUGAUUUGGAAUGGCGUAGGAAAACAACGACUAGAUAACUAUUUGAAAUAACACGAUGGGCACGAACAUCUGUGUAACGUUCUUUGCCUUCUUAUGUUUAAUCGCACUGAGUAAUGCUCAAACACAAUUUUUAAGAUGGUGUGUAAUCUCAGAAGCCGAACAAAAGAAAUGUCAGGAUCUGAAAAAAGUGGCUGCAAGCAUGUACGCCAAUAGAGUACCAAGCUACGAGGUCAUUCCACUGAUAGAAUGUGUUCUGGGAAAAGACGUGUAUAACUGCAUGGAGAAGAUCCAGGACAAUGAUGCUGAUAUCAUGGCCCUUGACACAGGACAGGCCUACUUUGGAGGGAGGUACUACAACAUGAUGCCCUUCCUAGCAGAGAAAUACAGCCCAGGGGGCGCAGGUACAGGUACAGGAGAUGGAAUGAACUACUAUGCUGUAAUAGUUGCCAAGAGAGGAUCACAGUUUAAUGUCUUUCAACUGCAGGACAAAAGGGCUUGUUUCCCAGGGGUUGGAACUGCAGCUGGAUGGCUCUAUCCUAUUGGUGAAUUUGUAAAGAAGAACGGUCAGACCAACAUCAUGCAGGUGACAGAAUCGACUGCAUGAAGCUGAUAUCCAAGGGAGAUGCAGAUAUGGUGAUGUUGGACCCCGGGGAUGUGUACUUAGCGGGAAAGAAAUAUGGCUUGGAGCCAUUUGUGGUUGAGGACUAUGGGAAUAUGAAUGCCUCUGUCCAUGUGGUAGCUGUGGCCAGAAAGAGAGACCACUAUAUGACAUUGUUCAACCUCAAAAAGAAAAGAGCUUGUUUGCCAGGAAUUGGUCGGGGAGACGGAUGGAUCAUUCCAAUGAAUAUCUUUAUUGAAACAGAACAGUUCAUUCCGCAGCACUGUACCCUCUUUGAGAAUCUGGGUCAGCUGUUUAUCCAUUCCUGUAUCCCCGGGGCCAUGGACAAGGACUACAACCCCAACCAAAAGCCAGUCAGUCUGUGCGAGGGCUGCGCGGCGGGCGGCUUCAGGAAGUGUCAGAGAACCAGUGAGGACCAGUACUUCAGCUCCAGCGGGGCAUUCCGCUGUCUCACUGAGAAGGGUGGAGAUAUUGCGUUUGUGAAACAUCUGACAGUACGUGGCAAUACUGAUGGUAGGAGACAGUCCUACUGGGCCCGAAACAGGCGUUCUGAUGACUACGAGUUGAUGUGUAAAGAUGGCCGCAGAACCCACAUUGAUGACUGGGAGAACUGUCACCUCGGCCAGAUUCCUGCCAGCGCCAUGGUUACAGCCAAGUACAAGAGUGAACAGGAUAGAACCAUAUUUUGGCAGCUGUUAAACUAUGGUCAACAGUUCUUUUCCUCAGACAUUGAAGGAGACUUCCAUUUAUUUGAUUCUGGGACUUGGUACAAUGAUCUGAUAUUUUCCGACGACGCAGUGCGAUUAAUGAGACUGGACAAGAGUAUGCAGGAUUACAGGAAUUACCUGGGUCAGGACUUUAUCAACAAGGUGGAAAACCUGCACAAGUACACCUGUGUACCAGUCAAACCCAGCAAAAAGAGCUCCUCAUCACACACUUCCAUCUCUCUCCUACUACUGGCAGCCAUAUUCAUACUCCAGUUGGUUGUGUAACAUACAUGUAUGCUGGUGACUUCAACAACAAAGUGAUAAAUCAUAUUUCAUGGAUGAAAGUUGUGAUGAAAGUGUGUCUUUCAGAAAUGUAUCUGUCCUAUAUGUGUAUGUAUAUCAUUGUCAUUAUUACUGUGUAAUUGUGAGGAUUUUUAAAAACAUUCUAUAUCAAUCAAUUGCAAGAAGCAUGUGUAGUUACAUUGUAUAUUCAUUACAUAAUAACCACUGUAUUAUAUCUCUAUUACCCCCUUUUUAAUCUUUAAUGUCAUGGAGUUGAAGAAUGAGGAAAAAACCACAAGUCCCACAUGGUGCAUUCUUCCUCCAAAACACCUCAUUCAGGGAAAGGUUGUGCAUUUUGUUGUAAAUUACUUAUAUUAUAUACUCCACUACCCACACUGUAUCCAUACUGCACUUACUACAAGUAGAUAGAAAUAGGUUUAGUUUUUAAUCAAAGAUUUGAUCGAAAUCAUCUAAAAUCCCAUUUUUUUUUUUGUUCGAUACUCUGACAUCAUAUAGGCUCAAACUCUUUUGUUAAUCUGGCAAUGAUUUUUAUGUAGGAUUUCUAGAGGUAUGUUUGUACAAGUGUGUUUUUCCAUUAAUUUGUAUCAGGUGCCAUUUAUAUGCUUUGUACAUUCCUAGAUAUGAAUGCUAAUAUUUUAUACAAGAGAGUGUACAGUCAUUGAGAGAAUGAGAGAGUGCUUAUUUGUAAAUACUUGUAUCUAUUUUUAUACAAAUCAUUUUUUAUUUCGAAUGUACUUGACAUGUAUGCAAAUAUUUUAUAUUUUAGGAGAGUGUAAUUAAUUGUAUUUUAUGAUGAUUAUCCAGUUAUUAAUAUAAACUGAGUUUUUCAUUAACUAGUACUGUACUGGCUUAUACCAAAGAGUUUGGUUUAAGUUCUUUUUCUCUAAAAUCUAAUUUAUGAACAAAUUUAGAAAUUCAUGAUGAUGUUUACUGUCUUUAUACUGGAUAUUUCAACUGGACACAAAUAAACUGAAAAACUU
rnacentral:misc_RNA from 1 species